rnacentral:rRNA from 1 species
CAUUAUACCGUGAAACUGCGAAUGGCUCAUUAAAUCAGUUAUCGUUUAUUUGAUAGUACCUUACUACUUGGAUAACCGUGGUAAUUCUAGAGCUAAUACAUGCUGAAAACCCCAACUUCGGGAGGGGUGUAUUUAUUAGAUAAAAAACCAACGCCCUUCGGGGCUUCUUGGUGAUUCAUGAUAACUUUACGGAUCGCAUGGCCUUGCGCCGGCGACGGUUCAUUCAAAUUUCUGCCCUAUCAACUUUCGAUGGUAAGGUAUUGGCUUACCAUGGUUUCAACGGGUAACGGGGAAUUAGGGUUCGAUUCCGGAGAGGGAGCCUGAGAAACGGCUACCACAUCCAAGGAAGGCAGCAGGCGCGCAAAUUACCCAAUCCCGACACGGGGAGGUAGUGACAAUAAAUACUGAUACAGGGCUCUUUUGGGUCUUGUAAUUGGAAUGAGUACAAUUUAAACCUCUUAACGAGGAACAAUUGGAGGGCAAGUCUGGUGCCAGCAGCCGCGGUAAUUCCAGCUCCAAUAGCGUAUAUUAAAGUUGUUGCAGUUAAAAAGCUCGUAGUUGAAACUUGGGCCUGGCUGGCAGGUCCGCCUCACCGCGUGUACUUGUCCGGCCGGGCCUUCCUUCUGGAGAACCUCAUGCCCUUCACUGGGCGUGUUGGGGACCAGGACUUUUACUUUGAAAAAAUUAGAGUGUUCAAAGCAGGCCUUUGCUCGAAUACGUUAGCAUGGAAUAAUAGAAUAGGACGUGCGGUUCUAUUUUGUUGGUUUCUAGGACCGCCGUAAUGAUUAAUAGGGACAGUCGGGGGCAUCAGUAUUCAAUUGUCAGAGGUGAAAUUCUUGGAUUUAUUGAAGACUAACUACUGCGAA